CGGGAGAGGGCCAGCGAAGGCCUGGGAAGGUGGACCCACAAACUCGUCUCCUAAUGAAGCUAACCAGCAAUGCGAGGGCACACAGGGAGACCCCCUAGAGGCUGCCCCAGGCCAGGAGUCACCUGUGAACUGAGGUGGCCAAGGCAGGUUCUGUGGCAGAGGGUGAAUGCCUGCAGAUGAGAACCAGCCGCGGUGCCCAGAAAGGAACAGUGUGCGGGCCUGACGGGAGCCCCCAUCAAUACAACCAGCUCCUGCUCAGAACUCUCUUCAGGCAGACAAAU
rnacentral:lncRNA from 1 species